UACGGGGGGGGGCGAAGCGUUGUUCGGAAUUACUGGGCGUAAAGGGCUCGUAGGCGGCCAACUAAGUCAGAUGUGAAAUCCCCCGGGGCUUAACCUGGGAACUGCGUUUGAAACUUGGAAGGCUUAGUGUGGCAGAGGGGGGGUGGAAUUCCACGUGUAGCAGUGAAAUGCGUAGAGAUGUGGAGGAACACCGAUGGCGAAGGCAGCCCCCCUGGGGCUAACACUGACGCUCAUGCACGAAAGCGUGGGGGAGCAAACAGGAUUGAGAA
rnacentral:rRNA from 1 species